rnacentral:rRNA from 1 species
UACAGAGGGGGCAAGCGUUAUUCGGAAUUAUUGGGCGUAAAGGGCGCGUAGGCGGCUUGGCAAGUGGAAGGUGAAAUCCCUCGGCUUAACCGAGGAACUGCCCUCCAAACUGCUUGGCUUGAGACCGGGAGAGGUGAGUGGAAUUCCCAGUGUAGCGGUGAAAUGCGUAGAUAUUGGGAGGAACACCAGUGGCGAAGGCGGCUCACUGGACCGGCAUUGACGCUGAGGCGCGAAAGCCAGGGGAGCAAACGGG